CAGUGAAAUCUUACUCUUAUAUCUGGAGUUUCUGUUCUUUGCUAGCCCAAGGUGUUCUGAUAUUUUUAGGCUACAUUCUUAAUGUUCAGUUUCAGAGUAAUUUUUUUGAUGCAGUCAAGCAUCCAAGAUGUCAGAGUAGACUUUUUUUAGGUUUAACAGACGGAAUGAAAUCUUUUCAGUUAUUUGCUUAGGGUUGCAUGUUCUGAAUGUGUGUAACUUAUUACCUGUUCCAUUAUAACAUUACCAUAAUGUUUUUGUAACAUCCCUUUUCUAAUUAUUUUAAUAACAAGCUCCAUGCAGGGAUAUUUCUGUAUUUAUGACCUUUUAUGUAAGCGGGGAUCUCUGCAGUUGCAGGAAGUGAGUCUUGUGUGCUAUUAAUGAAAUAGUCUGAUGAGACCGUAUUUCUCAUAUUGACAAGCUAUUGCUCUAGUAUAAAAUCUUGGAUGUGAUAAAGGAAUUGGUGUGGUUCAUUUAAAUGUUUUAUCUGCUGUAGUUAACUAUGAAAUACUUCAAAUGUAUGGUAUUGAAUCUGAAGAAAAAUUUUUUAUUAGUUGCAUUUUUAUUUAUUUAUUGGUGGAAGCACUCUGAUUCUCUGCUAGCGUUUCACCAUUGUUGAUGGAUUUUAAUCUGGAUUGCUGUUACUCUAUGCCUGAUCUUUAUGUACGAUGUCACAUUUGUGGUCACAUGAAGUAUUUUUCCAUCUACUAAAGGUGGAUAACAUACAGAAGGAACAUGUAGACUUUUUUCCAACUGCUGUUUUCAGUCAGUUAAAUCAGGCUGGCUGCACUUCCUCACCAUGUGUCAGCAGCAGCUGCACUGCAGCAUCAGUCCCUGUGACAGAUGGAGCUGGUGUCUCCCUGUGAAAUGGUAGCAUGAGCUUUCUAUUGUUUACAACUGGCUUCACAAUGUUAAUAUUUUUGGUGGCCUGGAGCAUUGCUUCUGAAAAGCUGCCAGCUCUAACCAGACCUACCACUCAGCAGUCUCUACUGAUGUGCCAGUUGGUGGCAUGCUUCCCCUCUGCUAUCGCUUGCUUCAGACUCGACCAGAACGGUUGCUUGCUCUGGACCCACGAGGGCAAUAUCUCCAUAAAGCAGUGUCCGUGGGGCUUGAAGGAAGUGGGAGAGUGAUGAGAGAACACCUGCUUCAAAUGAGGUCUGGAGGUGCCAGUCCCUCUCUGCUUGUUUGAAAUGAGUGGGAAGUGUUUGGCCCUCUUAGCAGUGAAAAGCAUAUUCGGUUGUUUGUUUUGUUUUAUUAACAUGGAAGAAGUUAAUUAAGCUUUCAUCAUUUUUUAAAGUAGGAUCCAGCAUGACUGUUUGUUGGUUUGCACUGUGUUAUCCUGGAUGAAUAGGUUAGACAAUGGCACCUGAAAUACUUAAAUAUGAAGAGCUUUAAUUAUGCUGGCUCUGGCAUAGCAAAAAGCCUUAUAAUUGUUCUCUAAAGUCUAAAACAUGGUCUUACAUUGCAAAUUUCAUAUACAUUUAUGGAAAGUAUCAUCUUUAGCUUGUGAUCCACCUCUGUCACUAACUGAAUAAAUACAUAUCUUAUGCUAGUA